CCCUAACUUUACCAAGAAAUUAUUUAAUCAAGCAUAUUAGAUGCAAUGUAGAUGGUGCUCAAGUUGAAAAUUUUGGACCUAGGUCAGGUUAAUUUGGACUCAUAAGUACAUCCAAUUUGUUCACUGGCACAUUGACCGGAUGCAAGUGCAACACACCCCACAAAAUAUGAACUUUUUAGGCUAAAAAAAUAGAGGCCAUACCUCGUCUCACCUUUGGGUUUAGCCACUAAGUUUGGACACUUGCCCCCACUAGGCUUUUUUUUUUUNNNNNNNNNNNNNNNNNNNNUUUUGACUAGUGUAGAAAGGGUUUUCUCAAUAUUAUCUAAUGGUGUUGAGCCGUUGAUCAUAGACUGCCAGACAAAACAUUAACUAUUGUAUUAAUUGGACCAGUUCAGGAGUGCUAGAGCUACCUGCUGCUGUAGGUUUCUAUUAUCUAUACACAUCAUGAAUCCUCAUCAAAAAUUAUGCAUAAGUUGAAACCAUAAUUUUAUUAAUGGAGGGCCCCACUUUAGAAGGACCUAUAUAGUAUUUUUUUUUAUCUCAUUCUUACCUCUUUAGAAAUUAUAACUCGCAUCAAUAUAAUUUUUAUCUAAAAUAGUCAGACAAUCUGUCCAAAAUAAUCUUUCAAUCUAUGCCU
rnacentral:lncRNA from 1 species